AAGGCCAAAUAUUAAGCAUCUCUCUCAAACUUCAUGCUCAAUCUCUCUGCCAAAGACAAACCACGCCUAAUCUCUCUGCCAAACUUCACCCACGAUGGAGACAGUCCCACGCCGGUGACACACCGCAGGCGGCAGUCCCUCUGCCAACCUCUGUUAAACCCACCAAAUCUCAGCAAAAAAUUCUCAACAGUUGAGCCCUAAUUCGCACCAUAAACAACCACCUCCUUCAAACAAUUCGAAUCAUCCAAUAAGUUUAGGUUUUUUCUCGAUUAAGCUCCGCUAACACGUCAAGUUCUCACAGAUCCCUAAUUCUAGAUUCCAUUCCUCACUGAAGAAGAAAUUGUCGCUGGUAGCUGUGGAAUAAAUAUCAUCAGAAUUGAAUAGUCAUGAAUCAAGAAGGGUGCUCAAGACAAAACAAAAAAGCUAAAAACUGCAUUGCAGCUGGAUCACUUGCAUCUUUGCGAAACCUAAGGAUGUCGUCAUUGACAACAAAAAGAAACUUCUCAAGCUAGAAGGCCAAGUGAAAUGCAUCCGCUUAAUAUAAUUGGAAAAAGACAAUUAGAACUAGCAUCUCAAUUGCAGGAACAAGUGCAGCGAGUGCCACUGACUUCUAGCUCUUCUGCAUCACAAGCAAUACAUGAACAAGUGCAGCAAGUGCUACCAGAUUCCACCACUCCUGCAUCACAAACAGUACAUGAACAAUUUGAGGAUUCUGACCAUCAUAAAUCAAAUGAACAAUCUGAGGAACAA